rnacentral:tRNA from 1 species
GGGUCAGUAGCUCAGUUGGUUAGAGCACCGUCUUGAUAAGGCGGGGGUCACAGGUUCGAUUCCUGUCUGACCCACCA